AACAGGAUUAGAUACCCUGGUAGUCCACGCCGUAAACGAUGCUAACUCGUUUUUGGGCUUUCGGGUUCAGAGACUAAGCGAAAGUGAUAAGUUAGCCACCUGGGGAGUACGUUCGCAAGAAUGAAACUCAAAGGAAUUGACGGGGGCCCGCACAAGCGGUGGAUUAUGUGGUUUAAUUCGAUGAUACGCGAGGAACCUUACCAAGGCUUAAAUGGGAAUUGACAGUUUCAGAAAUGAGAUUUUCUUCGGACAAUUUUCAAGGUGCUGCAUGGUUGUCGUCAGCUCGUGCCGUGAGGUGUUAGGUUAAGUCCUGCAACGAGCGCAACCCCUGUCACUAGUUGCCAUCAUUAAGUUGGGGACUCUAGUGAGACUGCCUACGCAAGUAGAGAGGAAGGUGGGGAUGACGUCAAAUCAUCACGGCCCUUACGCCUUGGGCCACACACGUAAUACAAUGGCCGGUACAGAGGGCAGCUACACAGCGAUGUGAUGCGAAUCUCGAAAGCCGGUCUCAGUUCGGAUUGGAGUCUGCAACUCGACUCUAUGAAGCUGGAAUCGCUAGUAAUCGCGCAUCAGCCAUGGCGCGGUGAAUACGUUCCCGGGCCUUGUACACACCGCCCGUCAAGCCAUGGAAGUCUGGGGUACCUGAAGUCGGUGACCGUAACAGGAGCUGCCUAGGGUAAAACAGGUAACUAGGGCUAAGUCGUAACAAGGUAACC
rnacentral:rRNA from 1 species